rnacentral:rRNA from 1 species
GUGUCAGCAGCCGCGGUAAUACAGAGGGUGCAAGCGUUGUUCGGAAUUAUUGGGCGUAAAGGGAGUGUAGGCUGUUCCUUAAGUCUUCUGUGAAAUCUACGGGCUUAGCCUGUAACGUGCAGAGGAAACUGGGGGACUUGAGUGUCGGAGAGGGUAGCGGAAUUCCCGGUGUAGAGGUGAAAUUCGUAGAGAUCGGGAGGAACACCAGUGGCGAAGGCGGCUACCUGGCUGACAACUGACGCUGAGACUCGAAAGCAUGGGGAGCAAACAGGAUUAGAUACCCGAGUAGUCC